AUGCUUCUUGUUUACUUAAACUUUUCUCUUUUGCUCAAAAGAUAAAAGAGUUUAUACUACCAGCAUCCUAAAUGCUCCACUUUCAAGUGAUGCAGGGUGAACAGUUUCAAGCAAGAUUGAGGAUGAUGAUUUUCAUUUCAACAACUACAACUGUUGUGAUUUUCUUGAUUAAGCACUUUCGGAGAGUUGUAUGCUAUGGGGAGUACUUCUCAAAAGAGAUCAAGAACAAUCGUAGGUUCUAAGUCUACUGAGGCCCAAGAAUGGAAGAUGAUAGAACACUAUGAGGCUCAAUUGGCAGAAUUAACUGAACAACUCCAGAUUCAAACCAAAGAAGCCAACUUAAAAAAAGCUCGUCGUAAGAAAGCAGAUAAACACUAGUUGGAACGACAAGGAAAGCUGGAGAAGUGUUAUGAGGAAAUCCGAGAGCUGAAGGAUCAGAUAAGGAAAAAGGAUCAGAAUAAUGCCCAAGUUCAGGAAGAAGCAAGGUACUGGAAACUAAGGAACCGCCAAAUGGAGGGGAUGCAUUUCAGGAAGGAUCUACUAAUUCAAGAAAUCAUUAAAAGGCCAACUCGUGCUGAUACCAAAAAGCUUUUCAAAGAAAUGAAGACCUGGAGUGACAAGAACAUUGGAGAAAGCCCUCUCCGUCAUGUGGACAUGGAGGAUCCCGCUUACUGAUGACCUUGUUAUUUGAACCACCACCAGACUUGUUGGAUGGGGUUCCUGGUUCUAUUUCGGUGUUUUAUUGGCUCAUGAGAGCAGAAUAAUUUGUAUUUUGAUUACUUCAAGAACUUGGUUGCGAAAUUAAUAGAUUGUGCUUGUUCA